rnacentral:lncRNA from 1 species
UUGAGUUCAUUUCCAGUAUUAUACAGAUACAGAGAGACAACUUUCCACAAUAUACCAAUUUGACAAAUGACAUAGAGGUAAACAACUCAUCUCCGUAUGGCUUUCAACUAUGAGAAAACCCAUUUUGCAUAGUCAGCUAUAAACGGUCCCGGAUUACAAAUGUAAAACAUGUCAAACGAGAAAACUAUCGGCCCUAUUUAUGUACAAAACAAUAAACAUAACAAAAAACGAC